rnacentral:lncRNA from 1 species
UUUCUUAUGUGGUCUCUGUGGGUUUAGCUCACUAUGCUAGCUGAACUUUGCUGAACUAAUAUGUUAUUGUUUUCAGGACAAUGAUUGCUGUCUGAACAGGCUGGCCUCAUGGGGGCAGGUUUCAAGUGGCUGCUGUGUGGGAUACUGGCAGCAUGUGGAAUACAGGGCCUGAAGGAGAUGCUCAGCACCCAGCAUUACAGGAUUCUGCUUUUUUCUUGACUUUGGUUCUGCUUUUUAAACACUGACCCCAGGAGAAGCUCUGCAGCAUGAGAAGAAAGCUCUUCUGCUCUUUGUCCUUUGGAAUACAGAGAAAACCAGCUAGAGCCCCAAAAUGGCUUUUAUUUGCACCUACCUGCUGCCUCUCCAUCUCUUCCAGCUGAGAACUCAGGACACUGUAGCCCAGAGGAGGAAAACUCUGUAGAGGACACAGAACAGCCUAUGCAUAUCAUCAGCUUGAAGAAGAUACCAAAUGAUCCCAUUAUCAAGGUGAUAUAUACAUUAACACAAGUUUCAGCACUAUAGUCUUUCCUAUUUAAUAGCUAAGAAUAGAACAGAAGAUAAUUAUCUAAUUUGCU